rnacentral:rRNA from 1 species
GACGAACGCUGGCGGCGUGCCUAAUACAUGCAAGUAGAACGCUGAAGGAGGAGCUUGCUUCUCUUGAUGAGUUGCGAACGGGUGAGUAACGCGUAGGUAACCUGCCUGGUAGCGGGGGAUAACUAUUGGAAACGAUAGCUAAUACCGCAUAAGAGUAGAUGUCGCAUGACAUUUGCUUAAAAUGUGCAAUUGCAUCACUACCAGAUGGACCUGCGUUGUAUUAGCUAGUUGGUGAGGUAACGGCUCACCAAGGCAACGAUACAUAGCCGACCUGAGAGGGUGAUCGGCCACACUGGGACUGAGACAGGGCCCAGACUCAUACGGGAGGCAGCAGUAGGGAAUCUUCGGCAAUGGACGGAAGUCUGACCGAGCAACGCCGCGUGAGUGAAGAAGGUUUUCGGAUCGUAAAGCUCUGUUGUAAGAGAAGAACGAGUGUGAGAGUGGAAAGUUCACACUGUGACGGUAUCUUACAAGAAAGGGACGGCUAACUACGUG